GUGGCGACCGGCGCACGGGUGAGUAACGCGUAUGCAACCUUCCUAUCAGAGGGGAAUAACCCGGCGAAAGUCGGACUACAUACCGCAUAAAACAGGGACACCGCAUGGUGAUAUUUGUUAAAGAAAUUCGCUGAUAGAUGGGCAUGCGUUCCAUUAGGUAGUUGGUGAGGUAACGGCUCACCAAGCCGACGAUGGAUAGGGGAACUGAGAGGUUGGUCCCCCACACUGGUACUGAGACACGGACCAGACUCCUACGGGAGGCAGCAGUGAGGAAUAUUGGUCAAUGGGCGAGAGCCUGAACCAGCCAAGUCGCGUGAAGGAAGAAGGAUCUAUGGUUCGUAAACUUCUUUCGCAGGGGAAUAAAGUGCAGGACGUGUCCUGUUUUGUAUGUACCCUGAGAAUAAGGAUCGGCUAACUCCGUGCCAGCAGCCGCGGUAAUACGGAGGAUCCGAGCGUUAUCCGGAUUUAUUGGGUUUAAAGGGUGCGUAGGUGGUUUGAUAAGUCAGCGGUGAAAGUUUGCAGCUUAACUGUAAAAAUGCCGUUGAAACUGUCGGACUUGAGUGUAAAUGAGGUAGGCGGAAUGCGUGGUGUAGCGGUGAAAUGCUUAGAUAUCACGAAGAACUCCGAUUG
rnacentral:rRNA from 1 species